AUGAACGCUGGCGGCGUGCCUAAUCCAUGCAAGUCGAGCGCACAGACGAGGAGCUUGCUCCUCUGACGUUAGCGGCGGACGGGUGAGUAACACGUGGAUAACCUACCUAUAAGACUGGGAUAACUUCGGGAAACCGGAGCUAAUACCGGAUAAUAUAUUGAACCGCAUGGUUCAAUAGUGAAAGACGGUUUUGCUGUCACUUAUAGAUGGAUCCGCGCCGCAUUAGCUAGUUGGUAAGGUAACGGCUUACCAAGGCAACGAUGCGUAGCCGACCUGAGAGGGUGAUCGGCCACACUGGAACUGAGACACGGUCCAGACUCCUACGGGAGGCAGCAGUAGGGAAUCUUCCGCAAUGGGCGAAAGCCUGACGGAGCAACGCCGCGUGAGUGAUGAAGGUCUUCGGAUCGUAAAACUCUGUUAUUAGGGAAGAACAAAUGUGUAAGUAACUAUGCACGUCUUGACGGUACCUAAUCAGAAAGCCACGGCUAACUACGUG
rnacentral:rRNA from 1 species